AAUGAACGCUGGCGGCAUGCCUAACACAUGCAAGUCGAACGGAGGCCCUGGCUUGCCAGGUGUCCUUAGUGGCGGACGGGUGAGUAACGCGUGGGAACCUGCCUUUGAGUGGGGAACAACAGUUGGAAACGACUGCUAAUACCGCAUACGUCCCCAUAGAAAUAUGGGUGAGAAAGGCUUCGGCCGCUCUUAGAUGGUCCCGCGUCUGAUUAGCUAGUUGGUAGGGUAAUGGCCUACCAAGGCGACGAUCAGUAGCUGGUUUGAGAGGAUGAUCAGCCACACUGGGACUGAGACACGGCCCAG
rnacentral:rRNA from 1 species